GCCCCUGAGUGGACAUUUUGUGUUUACUUGCGCUUUUCCACUUCCAUCCUGCUGAGUCUUCCUUUCUCCCCUUCACCAAGGAUUCUUCCAAGUUCACAAAAUGGAAGUCCUCCUUAAAGAAGAAGGCAAACAAUUGACCCAAAUCUUUAACGAUCACCCCACUUCUGUAGAGCUGGGUCAGCUCCACUAGGAAGCUGGAGGCAUGGCCCAUGCAGCUCCCUGCCCCCCAUCCCGUCUUACAGAAGAGACAGCUCUUCCUUACCACUUGCAGUAAGAAAAGCCCCAAUAAAAAGACAACUCAUUUUGAAGCUGAAGAGUCAGAGGUUCAGAGAUGCGCCGGGCCUCCGAAUGUCCAGGGACAAUGCCACGACGAUGUCAAGGAGCUGUGGCUGUGGUUGUGUCUGAUUGGUUCCCGCCCCCGAGCUGCACCACUGCUGGGAUUAUCUGUGAUUUUCACAGGACUGCCUCCGUUGGACCAACAACAUGUAGUAAUAAUCAUAACUAGCACUUAUUAAAUGCCUAGAACAGGCACAGCACUGUG